AAUAAAAUGCCUGAAUAAAGGAUUAUCUUGAUAGGAUAAAUUAUGGAAUUUUUUUUAUUACUUUUAUUA
rnacentral:tRNA from 1 species